CGGAGCAUAGUACAAUGGUAGUAUGCAAGGCUGGGGGUCUUGUGACCUGGGUUCAAUUCCCAGUGCUCCGA
rnacentral:tRNA from 1 species